CCUACGGGGUGCAGCAGUGGGGAAUAUUGCACAAUGGGGGAAACCCUGAUGCAGCGACGCCGCGUGAGUGAAGAAGUAUUUCGGUCUGUAAAGCUCUAUCAGCAGGGAAGAAAAUGACGGUACCUGACUAAGAAGCCCCGGCUAUCUACGUGCCAGUGGCCGCGGUAAUACGUAGGGGGCAAGCGUUAUCCGGAUUUACUGGGUGUAUAGGGAGCGUAGACGGCCAGACAAGUCAGAAGUGAAAGCCCAGGGCUCAACCCUGGGACUGCUUUUGAAACUGCCGGGCUGGAGUGCAGGAGAGGUAAGCGGAAUGCGUGGUGUAGCGAUGAAAUGCGUAGAUAUUAGAAGGAACACCAGUGGCGAAGGCGGCUUACUGAACUGUAACUGACGUUGAGGCUCGAAAGCGUGGGGAGCAAACAGGAUUAGAUACCCUAGUAGUC
rnacentral:rRNA from 1 species